GACGAACCGUGCAAACGUUGUUCGGAAUCACUGGGCAUAAAGGGCGCGUAGGCGGCUUAUCAAGUCAGGGGUGGAAAUCCGGCAGCUCAACUGUCGAAGUGCCCUUGAUACUGACGAGCUCGAGGGAGGUAGGGGUGUGUGGAACUUCCGGUGGAGCGGUGAAAUGCGUUGAUAUCGGAAGGAACGCCGGUGGCGAAAGCGACACACUGGACCUCUUCUGACGCUGAGGCGCGAAAGCCAGGGGAGCAAACGGG
rnacentral:rRNA from 1 species